AUUGAACGCUGGCGGCAUGCCUUACACAUGCAAGUCGAACGGCAGCGGGGGAGAAGCUUGCUUUUCCUGCCGGCGAGUGGCGAACGGGUGAGUAAUACAUCGGAACGUGCCCUGUAGUGGGGGAUAACUAGUCGAAAGAUUAGCUAAUACCGCAUACGACCUGAGGGUGAAAGUGGGGGACCGCAAGGCCUCAUGCUAUAGGAGCGGCCGAUGUCUGAUUAGCUAGUUGGUGGGGUAAAGGCCUACCAAGGCGACGAUCAGUAGCUGGUCUGAGAGGACGAGCAGCCACACUGGGACUGAGACACGGCCCAGCCUCCUACGGGAGGCAGCAGUGGGGAAUUUUGGACAAUGGGCGAAAGCCUGAUCCAGCAAUGCCGCGUGUGUGAAGAAGGCCUUCGGGUUGUAAAGCACUUUUGUCCGGAAAGAAAUGGCUCUGGUUAAUACCUGGGGUCGAUGACGGUACCGGAAGAAUAAGGACCGGCUAACUACGUGCCAGCAGCCGCAGUAAGAC
rnacentral:rRNA from 1 species